UACAGCUUGAUCCCUAGUCUACUGAGGUCAGUGAGGCUCUUCCCUUGGCAUCAGCAGACUUUGGACCAGUUGUGUCAGUUUGUCAAGAAAAAACCCUAUUCUUUGAAUUUAUCAGUGCAUAGUUCACAUUGGUAGUGCUCAGUAAACAAGACAUAAAAUCUUGCCCACUGUGUGGAAGACCAUGUCCAUUUUGGGUGAUUGGGGAAGGAAGGAUUCAAGGAGAAGAAGAGGCCAAGGUGGGCAUAAACAUCAAAAUAGUCUGCCCCCCACCCAGCAGCAGAAAGGGAUGGUUCAAGAAUGGGGCUUGUGAGAGACCUGUCCUGCCUGUGCUCUCAGGAGGGUAGUGACAGUGCCCUAAUAUAAGCCAAGACCUUCACCUGAGGAAAACCAUUACCUUUUCCCACCCCAGAAGCAGCUCCUUCUGCCACUCUGCCUGCCCCUCGGUGUUCCAGAUACAACAACCAGUGCAGACUCCCAUCAGCACGGCUCUUGCCUCCGGCUCUUGCCAGAACCACGGGGAACGGAACCACAGAAGUGUUUAAACAAUGCUCUCAGGCAACAUGGUUCAUCCCUUCCCGUGGAGGUGGAGGGGCUCAUAAUCAACAUGGUGUUUUUGUCUCUUGUGGGUCACAAAAACAACUCUCUGAGAGGCUGGAGCUGGGGAGUUCCAUGGAAAAGACUUGCAAGAGCUGAAGAGACCAACUCAUGAUGGAAAUGAUACCAUAAAGCUCAUGAAAAAAGAAGAUGAAAUCAGGAAUUAAGACAGAAGUUAAAACCUGCGUAAGAGGUUUUAAGCAAGCUGUUCAAACUGUAAAAGUCCAUGGCCAGAUCCCACCUGCUCUCAAUCAUGGAAGUAUUCAGUGUAUAAAUAAACUCUUUCAAUGAGCACAGUGGGAUGGGGAUUCCUUCAGUGUGACACUGAUGUGCUUAACCUGUGGUUGGCCUAUAGGUCCAUGCCCGUGUGUGAACAGCAUGGACACUAUUUGCAUGACAAAGUAUAUGCAUGAUGAACACAUUGGGCCAGUGUUUUAAGCAAUUUAAACAUAAGUUUUUGGAUAUGUUUGUUAAAGCUUUAUCUUUUGUGAAUAAAGCAACUAAUGCUUUUAGUCUGUCACUUAUACUUGUAAAUAUGUCUAUUUGUCCAUCCAUCUUGCUUGCUUUGGUUUCAGGCUGUUUUGUUGUGAAAUGUUGCUUUAGGGAUAUGUGGUGAAAUCUAUGUUGUGGGAUAUGUGGUGGGAUAUAUGUUGUGUUUGAGGUAAUGACUCUGUGGUCCUCCUGUGCAUACCAGAAGUGAAUUCCUUUCUAAUUAUGCACAACAGCUGCUGGCCAAAUCCUGUCUCCUGCACUAACAUGUUUCUGCACUGGGAGAAACACUUUGUUCACAUCUGGAAAGAAGCUGAUGUAACGUGUCAUGAUUGCAGAGGACGAAGAAAUCCCACGCAUAAUUCAGGCUAGUUAUAUAUGUACCUUUGAAAGUGCAGGCUAAAAUCUUGAAUAUUACCUUGUGUUCAGCAGGAAUCCAGUGGAAGAAACAAAGUAAUGGUGUGAUAUCUUUUCAGCAGAGAGGCUGGUCUGAUCUAAAUCAGCUUUCUUGAGAUUAGCUGUUGCAAGCCUGGAUACUUGAAUUAUACUUGUGAAUUUUGGUUGCCAAAUAUACAUGGUUUACUAUAAAUCUAUCCACAGAAGGAAGAGAGCACUUUUGAAAACAAGAAUGAGUUGAGCAAAGAGGGAGGUGUUCAAAGGAAGCCCGAGCCUGGGCCCAUCUGUAGUGAUCUCAGAGGGGAUGUUGUGGAGAAGGGAGACACUGUUGUGUGGGUGAUGGUGAUGUCUUCAAAAAUCGCUUAUGAGGAAUGUGGUAUGUGAUCACAUCUGAUCUGAUUGAAAACAUUUGGGAUAGGACAGAUGUGAGUAGCUCAGUAAGGAGAAUCGCAGGAAAACAACUAGGAAAAUAUGUUAGGUCUUCAAAUAGGAAAAUAGUAAAGAUGAAGAAGUAAACGUUCAAAUUAUUUUGAGUCAUGCAUGGUUUGUCUGUUUGCUUGUAUUUAUUGGAACAAAAAGAAAGUAGAAAAGUAGAAAUUCUGUGCUGAGCUCAUGAAUCCUUAUGUAUAAAACAGCUGCAAACUGGGAAGGUGUUCUCAAGUCUUAGAUUUGCAACUGUGGUAGAGGCACAGACAACAUGAAAAUCAGUUUUAUUUUCAGCUUUGGUCACUGAUGUAGUUUAGAGUGAGUGUAUGUGAACAUCUGUGUUUGGUGAGUAUAUAAAUAGAAUAACAUACGGUGAAUUUACCUCAGAUUUUCAUAAAAGUUGUGACACCUAGAUUUGCACAGCAAAUGCAUGUGUGAAUAGGGUUAAAAGUGAACAUAAAACCCUUAAGUUGUUUUAAUGCAUUGGUUUUUAAAUGUGUGUACUGAAACAGCAUACAACAUUAUGUAUUGAACAUUGUAUAUGUAAGGGGGUUUUAUGACAUAUCUUGCUGUAGUUCAGUUGCAGAAAUCACAACUGUGAUGUUUUUGGACUAAGUUACAGAUCUAUUUGUUCCCAGAGUAUUUGAACCGUUGUUUGCACACCACUAAUACUCAUUGCCUCCUUUUAGAUAACAGUGAUUUUAUCCUUAAAAACAAAUUAUGACGGUGGGACCUUGGUACUAUGUAGUAUGAUGACAUGGAACAGAUUAUUGGAUAAGCUAUUCCCCCUCUGAUUUGAUCCUGAAAUGGGGGAAAUUCAGUCAAGUUGUUCAGUCAUUGAUCAUGUGAAUGUAGUGAGAUUUUUGGAGAUGAACAGGGUGAGAACAUGUGCAUAUCUGUAUUUGUUUCAGAGUGAACAAGUACAAAAAGUCCAAGAUACCAUUCUUACAGAAGAAAAAGAAAAAAGCCCAGCAACAGUGGAAUCUCUUUGGUCUCAGAAAAACUCACUGAAGAGUAUAGAACUGGCUUCGUCCAAAAUCUGAGUUGGGUGUUUAUCAGUGGGAGUGUCUGAUGGGAAGAAAUGUGUUUCACAUCAUGGACAUGGAAGAUCCUCCAUGGCUUCAUGACUUUAGAGACAGUGGCUCCACUUGGCUGAGAGCCCCUGUCUUGAUAACAAUUUUGCCUUCCACCAGUAAGAGACUAGUUUCCAUAACUGGAACGGUUUCCUAUGGAAAACUGAUUGUGGACUUCAUCUAGCUUUGUAGUAUGUACUGAUAGCCAGAAUACUUCAUAUCACUUUAUAUAGGAAAAGUGCGUGAAAGUGAGGAAACUAACGCCAUUGACUUUGGCUACAUGAUCUUUUGUGAUAAACACCAAAUUAACUAGUAAAGUCACAAUGGAAAAAGAUACUGGCCUUCCACAAAAUGAAGCUUGUGUUUGGGUAAGAAAAGGCAGAAAUGUUUCAGAAGGGGUUGGGCUUGAUUCAGUCAGAGUUACUGCCAGCAUAAAUGAGGUGUGGGGUUCAGGACUGGCUACAGUAAAUGCAAGCAUAUCCCAUGCCACAGGGGAUGAGAAGAAAAGUAGGCCCAAAGAAGCUCAUAUGGUUCAGCAUGUUCCAGCUUUGACAGCUUCAGCGGCAGCAUCCCACUUCAGGAUUCCCUCCUUGAAGCUGUAGAGACACUGCAAUGAAGACUGGCAAUGCUUGUGGUGGCUCCAGCAACGUACAGAACAGGAGGCAUUUUAUGUACGUGUGACUUAAAAGGCAGACCCCCAGAUCUAGGAGAGUUAUUGGAAACUGAAAUUAGAUCAUGCUGAAAAAUGCUUGUUCACUAAUGGCAAUAACAGCUGUGUCACGUGUUCACUACAGAGAUGCCCAAGGACACUUACCUGUAAUGUAUUAAAAAUGAAGAGACCAGAAAUGUAUUAGUACCCAAUAGAUAAAAUAUUUAAGAGGUUAUAGCCACAUGGACUGUAGAGAUCUGAUAUGUAGGCAUGCACUGUACAUUUUUAUACUAGAGAUGCAUAAAUGACCCCAUUAAAUCCUGUUAUUUUCCUAAUC